UCGCGUGUGAGUGGGAACAGGAUUACAGCAGCUUCAGAAACAUACUUUUAAAGCGUAUCGUUGUGACAUUUAAUUUGAUCUAAAUAACUUAAAAGGAGAUUAAAAUGGACCUCGCUCUACAGGUCUAACAAUUCUUGCACUUCAUGGAUUUGCCAAGGCAUGCUUGUCCUGAGGUCAACAGUUCUGAAGAAGGCCAACACCAGCACCCUCCUUACAUUUAAGACAUCAUCACUGCAAGGCUGGCUCGACAGCAGAUUGCUCCAGGCUCCCACAUGAGCAGACUAACAAAGAUGAUGGAGCGAAGACAAGAUUCCAGAAAAGCUGAGGUUCUACUGACGUGCUGCUCCUAAUCUCUCUGGUGCGGCCUUCAAAGAAGCACACAAAGGCAGAACAGAAUCACAGGAGAGCUGAGGGACUCCACGGGGACUGUGGCACAGGCAGUUUGGAGGAGCUGGCUGGGUCCCUGGCUAGCAAGGAUAUAGCCUGUGUUCCUCAUCUUCUGUGGAAAGGCCAGGAGUACUGGGUGGGUCUGCCAAAAGCCCAGGAGGUGGACUGCCUCUGGGGCUCUCCUUUGGCAGCUGGCGAUAGAAGGACCAUAGUCCGGAGUAGCACGUCUGGAUCCGGGGCGGACGUGCCCCUCUGCAUGUCCAGUAGGGCCAAGGACACGCCCCUAGCGCCUAUGCUUUCAGUGGAUGCUGUGUCAAGGCGCCUUUUUGCAUGUAUCUACAGGCGCAUCUGUUUGUUGUUGUGUGCUUCCACGGUGCUUGUGGGUGCAAUGUUAUAUGUGCAGGCUGGGUCCCUCCGAGGAGGUUGCUGACACCGCCAGCCAUGGCCUUGACUUCGGAGCAGUGGACCCACCCACAAACCGUACCAGACUACCCUGGGAGAGGCAUGGACUCUGCCUUUCCCCCUCGAGUGGAGAGACAUCCCUUGUUGGUGGUUCCGAGCCUGCCAUGUGUUGGGUGGGCACCAGGCAUUGCCAUGCUGUGUCUGUGUAUGUGUGCAUGGUGUGCUGGGGUUCACUGUCCCAGAGUUGGACGUGUCAGGAGCCAUGCCCCUUGUGAGGGGGUACUGUCACAGAACGCUCCACUUGUCCCUGGUCACGUGGUACACCCUGCCACAUGCAGUAGGAGUCACAUCGUCUCAUUUAUAACCACGCCCUCCUUGGUAGCACACACCUGCACAUGGUUUAAUGUUAUGUGUGUCCAUAAGUAUUUAAACCCCUUUUGGUGUGUGCAUCAGUGUUGGUCAUUGUUCAUAUUCCCUAUGUUAAUUUUCACAUUUUUCAAGCUAGUUAUAUGUGUAUUCAUGUUCACUGUUUACAUUAUAUGUGAGUGCCUUUGUCUUUAUCGUAUAUUAACAAAUGUCUGUCUCUGUCGAGGGAGUCUGUACGUCCUGCUCCUUGCCCUGCGGCACUUGGGCUGUUACUUAUACCGGUUCAUCAAAUAGUGCCCACAGAUGCAAAUGCAUUUAUAUGAGUAAUGGAUAUGCUGUCAUGUCCUUGCGAUGCAUAGCAGUGAUGUGUCAUGCUUAUGAUUAACUGAGGGAAUUACAUUUUCUCAUUUGUGAUUUGGCAUAAUGGAGCGCUAA